UGGUAGGGCAGCCUCAGCCCCGAGAUGACGUCGGGUCUCCGCGGCCCCGGGUUAUUGUAGGAACUAUCCGGCCCCGCGUAAUCGUAGGGUCUGCGCGGCCCCGGCCCCCACCAGACGGGACUCCCCGCCCCCAAUUGGCGGCCGAGGAGUCUCCUCGCCCCAGAGUCAUCUUCGGGACGCCCAGGGCCCGGGUGAUUGUGGGCUCGCCCCGGCCCCGGGUGAUUGUUUCAUCUCCGUGGCCCGCGGUGGUCGUAGCGUCUCCAAGACCGCGGGCUCCCGUAGGGUCCCCGUGGCCCCGAGUUGUAGUCGGGACACCCCGGCCGCGGGUGAUCGUCGGGUCUCCACGCGCCCGGGUCGCUGGCGCGGAUCCGGCCUCGGCGCCUUCUCAGGGCGCCCUGCAAGGCCGCAGGCAGGAUGAACAUUCUGGCACCCGUGCGGAGGGAUCGCGUCCUGGCGGAGCUGCCCCAGUGCCUGAGGAAGGAGGCCGCUUUGCACGGGCACAAAGACUUCCACCCCCGCGUCACCUGCGCCUGCCAGGAGCACCGGACAGGCACCGUGGGGUGAGUUAGGGACACCCACAACAAAGAGAGGAGGUCCCAGGAAACUCUGUAGUCAUAGCGAGGGUAAACAACCACCCCCUUGGGGCUUCAUUUCAGCCCCUACCAGCUAUAUGGUUAUUUCCCCCUCUUUAAGCCCCUGUAUCCUCUCCUUUUUUCCCAACAAGGUUGUUGUGAGUUCUAUGAGAUGGGGUUGGGUAGAAGGGUGGCAGCUGGAUUCCUGAGUAGAGACUAAGGUGUCUGAAAUGGGAAGGUGGUCACCUGCUCAGAUCCCCACAUAGCAUCCAUGGAGCCCCAGGGCAGGGGUCUGGCUGUGCUUACAGGGAUGAGUCUUAUUGUGGGUUUUAAAGGUAAUACUGAUAACAGUUGGCACCAUUAAUUAAGCAUUUGCUGUGUGCCAGGCAGUGUUGGGUACUAUCAUUAUUUUUAUUGAAUGGAAAAGUCCAUCACUUAAGAUAUAUCCUGAUUUCAGAGACAUUAAAAUGCAGGGGGGAGGGUAUCUUAGAAUAUAGGACAUUUAUCUCAUUUUAACCUUCACAACGACCCAGUAAAAUAUAUACUAACUUUACUUAAAUGUUUAAACAGGCUUAGAGAGGCUAAAUAACGUGUCCAAAGUCACACAGCUAAUCAGUGUGAGAGCUGGGAUUCAAAUUCAUGUCUCUCUGCUGCUGG
rnacentral:sRNA from 1 species